GACGAACGCUGGCGGCGUGCUUAACACAUGCAAGUCGAACGGAAAGGCCCUGCGUUUGUGGGGUGCACGAGUGGCGAACGGGUGAGUAACACGUGAGUAAACUGCCCUUGACUUUGGGAUAACUUCAGGAAACUGGGGCGAAUACCGGAUAGGAGCUACUGAUGCAUGGUGGGGGUUGGAAAAUUUCGGCGGUGGGGGAUGGACUCGCGGCUUAUGAGCUUGUUGGGGGGGUAGGGGCUUACAAAGGGUUUGAAGGGUAGCCGGCCUUAGAGGGUGACCGGCGUCAUGGGGCCUGCGAUACGGCGCAGACGCCUACGGGAGGCAGUGGGGGGGAAUCUUGCAGAACGGGCGGAAGUCUGAUGCAGCAACGCUCGGUGCGGGAUGAUGGCCUUCGGGGUGUAAACCGCUUUCGCCUGUGAUGAAGCGUGAGUGACGGUAAUGGGUAAAGAAGCACCGGCUAACUACGUG
rnacentral:rRNA from 1 species